AGUGAACGCUGGCGGCAGGCCUAACACAUGCAAGUCGAGCGGCAGCGCGGGGGCAACCCCGGCGGCGAGCGGCGGACGGGUGAGGAAUUCGUCGGAAUCUGCCUUUUUGUGGGGGAUAACGUAGGGAAACUUACGCUAAUACCGCAUACGUCCUACGGGAGAAAGUGGGGGACCGCAAGGCCUCACGCAGAAAGAUGAGCCGACGACCGAUUAGCUAGUUGGUGGGGUAAAGGCCCACCAAGGCGACGAUCGGUAGCUGGUCUGAGAGGAUGAUCAGCCACACUGGGACUGAGACACGGCCCAGACUCCUACGGGAGGCAGCAGUGGGGAAUAUUGGACAAUGGGCGCAAGCCUGAUCCAGCCAUGCCGCGUGUGUGAAGAAGGCCUUCGGGUUGUAAAGCACUUUUGUCCGGAAAGAAAUCCCUGGAGCUAAUACCUUCGGGGGAUGACGGUACCGGAAGAAUAAGCACCGGCUAACUUCGUG
rnacentral:rRNA from 1 species